CCUACGGGAGGCAGCAGUGGGGAAUUUUGCGCAAUGGGGGCAACCCUGACGCAGCAACGCCGCGUGAGUGAUGAAGGCCUUCGGGUCGUAAAGCUCUGUCAGAGGGGAAGAAAUGCAGGUGGUGAACAACCAUUCUGUUUGACGGUACCCUCAAAGGAAGCACCGGCUAACUCCGUGCCAGCAGCCGCGGUAAUACGGAGGGUGCGAGCGUUGUUCGGAAUUAUUGGGCGUAAAGCGCGUGUAGGCGGUUUGUUAAGUCUGAGGUAAAAGCCCCGGGCUCAACCGGGGAAGUGCAUUGGAUACUGGCAGACUUGAGGACGGGAGAGGAGAGUGAAAUUCCCAGUGUAGGAGUGAAAUCCGUAGAUAUUGGGAGGAACACCGGUGGCGAAGGCGGCUCUCUGGACGGUAACUGACGCUGAGGGACGAAAGCCAGGGGAGCAAACGGGAUUAGAUACCCUGGUAGU
rnacentral:rRNA from 1 species